rnacentral:tRNA from 1 species
GGUUAUAGCUCAGUUGGUAGAGCUAGCCUCGCAUGUACGAGGUUCUGGGUUCAAUCCCCAGCACCA